UGUGUGUGUGUGUGUGUGUGUGUGUGUGUGUGUUAUGGGGGUAGGGUGGAGAGGUGUGUGUGUGUGUGUGUUAUGGGGGUAGGGUGGAGAGGUGUGUGUGUGUGUGUGUUAUGGGGGUAGGGUGGAGAGGUGUGUGUGUGUGUGUGUGUUAUGGGGGUAGGGUGGAGAGGUGUGUGUGUGUGUUAUGGGGGUAGGGUGUAGAGGUGUGUGUGUGUGUGUGUUUGUUAUGGGGGUAGGGUGUAGAGGUGUGUGUGUGUGUGUGUUUGUUAUGGGGGUAGGGUGUAGAGGUGUGUGUGUGUGUGUGUGUUAUGGGGGUAGGGUGUAGAGGUGUGUGUGUGUGUGUGUGUGUUAUGGGGGUAGGGUGUAGAGGUGUGUGUGUGUGUGUUAUGGGGGUAGGGUGGAGAGGUGUGUGUGUGUGUGUUAUGGGGGUAGGGUGGAGAGGUGUGUGUGUGUGUGUGUUAUGGGGGUAGGGUGUAGAGGUGUGUGUGUGUGUUAUGGGGGUAGGGUGGAGAGGUGUGUGUGUGUUAUGGGGGUAGGGUGUAGAGGUGUGUGUGUGUGUGUGUGUG
ensembl:lncRNA